ensembl:lncRNA
CAAAAAAUAAAUAAAUAAAUUGUGUAAUUUUUGCCUGACAAUGCUGGCCACAUUCUGAUCUGUUUCAUUAAAUUUAUGGUGGUGUUACUCUAAACAUUUUGACUAUUUGAAUGUACGAGAUGUCAGAAAACAAAACAAGGAAGAAAAAUAUUGUUAAUUAAAAUAUGCUGCUACCAAGGAAACCACAACUUGAAACAAGGAUUUUGUAACAUGCAAAACCCAGAUACUGUUUCUGCUUCACAGUAGUUAACCAUAUUGGAGAGAGAAUGCUUUAAAAUAGACCCUGUUCUGAAAUCUACUUACAUGGAGCUCAUCAUAAUGUAUCUUAUUAAAUGUUUGUUCAGUCAAUUCCAAACUUUUGUGUGUUCUAACCUCAAAGUGUUGUGUCAAGCCCAUGUGCCAUUACAGUACUUCUAAUAAAAUUUAUCUGGGAUCAUUGUUUCCUUAAUAUUAAAACAACUGCAACAUUAACAGCAUUCCUAAUAUUCACUUUCAGCAUAGAAAGGCUUCUUUGACUAUGCAGUUUUGAAAAGUCAUGUUAUUAGAUUUAGUAAUAACUAACUUUAAACUUCCAUUUACCUCUUGUCAUUCUGACAUCCAUAGAAGUUAGGCCCAUUUCUGUUCCAUCGUGUAGUCUCAUUAUCAUCUGGAGUGUUGCUCAAGAUGCAGCUCCUAAUAUUAUACUGUUAUGUUAAAUUUAUAAAAUCCUUUGCCUUUAAUAUUUAAGGAAACAAUACCAGUGUUGGUAAAGAAAUUACAAGAGGGUAAUUUCAUGCAAUAAACAUGUUUCUUUCCUCAUUUUGGGGGGGAAUAAACAACCAGGAAAAAGAACAACAACAAAAAAUACUUCCUUUUUGUAGACAUCUACAGAUGUUAGGAUUGCCAGAAGCAAAUACCAGGAGUAAGGUCAGUAUUUUUGUUGCAUCUUAAAUGUAUAUCUUCCUGUGGGAGUUUACUGUGUUCUGUGGUUAAGUGGAUGUGCUUAAUCACUCUGGAAAUUCUGAUCAAAUGAAAUAAACCUGAUGCAAUAACAGUGGUUUUGCCACUUCUGGGUGUUUGAGAUGAAUCGUGUCCCCUGUUAGUCCAGAUUUUAUUCAGUGUGUGUUGUCACCAGAUAUUCAUAGGUGAAGCAGAAAUUCUUUAACCAGCAAGUUUCUGCUUUUCAAGGUUAUUUUUAGAAUACUUCGUCAGGGAAAUGAAGAGAGGAUGCUUUUGCUUUGGGUUGUGGUCAAGAGCUGACUGAAUAAUUUAAGUGUCUCCAGUCCACGAGAAAACCAUGUCCUUCGACUGUGAUCUCAGUGGCAUAUUUGGUUAGGUUUUAUCACAUUUCUUGUCAGAUGUUCAGUUGACCAAGCAGUUCACUGCUUUUUCUCCCUCACCCCCUCACUGCUUUGAAAUUUUAAUUUGCAGUUAUUACUGCGUUGUUCAAGAACUUAGCAUCCUUGUUUUCUGCAAGUACUGAUUAAAAUAAAAUACUGUAAAAUAUGUUGUAAAACAUUGUAAUUAUCUUCCCAUGUCUUUGUUGUACUUGCGUUGAAAUGUUUUCACAUUCCUUUGUCUAAAAGCAAAUGUUUACUUUCAUUUUGAUUAUUUUGCUCACCUUGAAAUCAACAGGUUUUGAUAUUUUUUCUUGGAAGAUUUUAUAUCUUUUUGGGAAUAUGUAAUAUAAGAACUCUAAUAAAAGAUAAUCUUAUCCUGUGCAUGGUACUCUGGAGUAGUUCUUAAUUCUCUUUUGUAAACAUAUAUUAAAAUGUUUAUUAAAACCUAAACCAAGGAUUAGGAUGGAGUAGUGAGGACCUAUUAUUUGUUCCUUUGUGAAUGAAUUGCUCCUUCCUCAGCCCAGUUCUAAGUAGAAAAGUUCCUUCUAGAGAGCAGGUAGCAGAAGCACAGUGCUCAGAUUUAUCUGAGUUUGGG